CACAGAACCACUCGGAUCUCCUGCCUCAGAUGGAAGGCAGCUCCCUCGUGACGUUCCAGAAGGGAGUAUACCAGCCGAAAGUACCAGAACGCCUCCUAUGCCUUGAGCCGGAGGGUGGACCAGAACGCAUCCCCAAUGUCUCAGGACGCGGCCUGGAUUUCCACCACGGCCUUGAUGCUGCUGCACAUCUUUGACCUGAACCGGUCAAGCCCUUGCCGGAGAAAGAAAUGGAGUCGUUUUACUCAUAAUCUCAGAACUUAACCCACGCAGGCGCCCCACACGCCAUAAAAAUAACAUUGUGGCGACCUCAAAGGGUAACUUACGAAGCACGGACAAUAAGUGGAGUGUGCUUUCUGUCCUAAAAAUCCCAGACUACGGCGGACUUACGAAUAAUUUUCAACAAUCAGGAAGUCUGCAAAAAUCCGUCUUCUAAAGACUGCACGCUGCUCAUCAAAUCUCCUAAGACCUCUGUGUCCCUCCCCCCCUCUGAGGAGGUCCCUGGACCUGACUCCUAAGGGCCAAAGCCAAAGAACCAGGCACCUGCCUCCAGCAAAUCCCCUCCGAUUCCCUCUCAUUCCCAGACACCAAUUUCCAUGAAAACCAGACACAGGACAGAAAGCAGAGCAGGAUAUUCCAAAAUCGCUUCAGAUCUGCAGCCUGAUUUCAUUAGACUCGCCGGCUUGUUUCUUUUAGCCCCCGUGCGUGCCCACGGCAGGUGAAAUUUCGCUGGCACGGCCACCUCAGACCCCAUGCGCUUAAGGGGACCAGGCCGGGGCAGGAGAGGCAGAGAUGGGAGGUUCCGGUGCUGAGGGGGAGACGUGUCCGCCAGAGGUCAGCAGGAAGUGGGGGGGCACUUAGCAAUGCUCACUGUCCUCACUGACCAGGUGUCUCUAGAGCCUGACACUAUCGUGUCACUGUACCCGCCCCAGCAUAAGAAAGGUCUUCAGCCUGGAGGCAAAGACCCCACGGUCGUCAUCCCCAACCCAAGUCUAACUAACAUAGCAGCUUCCAAGAGCACAGGUGGGUCAUUUCGCACCCACAAACACCCAACCUGAGAAGCUGGUGGGGAACCGUCUGGGGACGGGGGCUACACAGCCCCUCCCUCCGGCUUUCUGUCGCCUUCACCGUGCCACAGCUGACAGCUGAGCCCCCUGGCUGACAAUCCCACAGUUAGCAGUUUGUCUCCGAGGUCUCCCCCGGGGACGUGGCAGGGACCCAGCGCAGAAGCGACUGGACGUAAACCUCCCCGGCCAGCCUCAAGGUCUGGUCGCCAGCGGUGACACAGAUUUUCCUCCAAGAUUUGAAGCACAUGUGGCUUGCAUCAACGCGGUCUCGCAUCCAUUCUCUGUUGAGACCACUUGCCUCGCACAUUCUCAUAUUUACACGUUCACUGAACGUAAUCCCGAGUGAAUUAUUUCAGAAGGCUUAAUGCGCCUCAGACUUCUCAAAUACAAUUUAGGCCUUAAAUUAAAUGUGUAGUCCCGUGGGAAACCAGUAGGUUAGACGCAGCCGACGGCAUCCCGGGGACACACAGGAGCCCCAGAACAGAACCGCGGUUGCUUCUAGAAGGAUCUCGCCUGGUAGCCGAGGCUCCCCGGUGAACGGAACGGGAUUCGACCGCAAAACCGGAUUCGGCGUCCAGGUGUGAAAGCAGUGGAACCUACAGGACGCAAGAUAAACAUUCUUGCUGCUUUGUGCGUCCCUCGACGGCCUUGCCAUGAAGCGCCCCAGCGGCCAGAAACGUGUGACGGAACAGACAAGAGCGUACAGCCCCGUUCAUUCAUUUUGAGGUCUGGGUUUUGUUUUGUUUUUCUUUUAAUAAAUCACAACAUUCUUUGUCCCUUCUGUUCGGUUGCCCAAUAACUGCGCAGAAUUAGGUGUUAAAUUUGCUACGGUGAUUAGAGUUGAGACCAGCCACAUGCAUUUUACUUAAAACUGGUUUUUUGGGGGGUUUUUUUGUUUUGUUUUGUUUUGUUUUGUUUUGUUUUGUUUACAGCAAGCACUGCCCACUGGGAAAAAUAAACCAGAACAAGGAGAGCAAAAUUCCCUUAUCAGGCACCAGCGAUAAUGAAAACAAACCAUUUACAAGGAAGCACAGACGAGGAGUUUGCUGCAGACCAAGCACUGGAACUGAAAACAAAUUUCUUACUCAGGGAAAUGUGGAGGAGUAAGAAUCUACAGUGAAGAGUUUUUUGUUUCUUUUUUGUUUGUUUUUUGGUUUUUUUUCCUUUGCAU